rnacentral:rRNA from 1 species
UACGGAGGGGGCUAGCGUUGUUCGGAAUUACUGGGCGUAAAGCGCGCGUAGGCGGACCUGCAAGUCGGGGGUGAAAGCCCGAGGCUCAACCUCGGAACUGCCUUCGAUACUGCGGGUCUCGAGUCCGGGAGAGGUGAGUGGAAUUCCUAGUGUAGAGGUGAAAUUCGUAGAUAUUAGGAAGAACACCAGUGGCGAAGGCGGCGACCUGGUCCAUUACUGACGCUGAGGCGCGAAAGCGUGGGGAGCAAACAGG